rnacentral:rRNA from 1 species
AACGAACGCUGGCGGCAGGCCUAACACAUGCAAGUCGAACGCUGUAGCAAUACAGAGUGGCAGACGGGUGAGUAACGCGUGGGAACCUUCCCAAUGGUACGGAAUAGCCCAGGGAAACUUGGGGUAAUACCGUAUACGCCCCUAGGGGGAAAGAUUUAUCGCCAUUGGAUGGGCCCGCGUCGGAUUAGCUAGUUGGUGAGGUAAUGGCUCACCAAGGCAACGAUCCGUAGCUGGUUUGAGAGAAUGACCAGCCACACUGGGAAUGAGACCCGGCCCAGACUCCUACGGGAGGCAGCAGUGGGGAAUCUUUGACAAUGGGCGCAAGCCUGAUCCAGCCAUGCCGCGUGAGUGACGAAGGCCUUAGGGUUGUAAAGCUCUUUUGCCGGGGACGAUAAUGACGGUACCCGGAGAAUAAGUCCCGGCUAACUUCGUGCCAGCCGCCGCGGUAA